CGCUGACGUCGCACGCUGGCGGAGCCAAGCUGUCAUGGCCGCAAGACGCGAAGCCCCGAGUGGACCACGUUUAGGAGCACUAAGAAUGCUGCUGCGAGGUGUUCAGCGCAGUAAUUGCAGGGAGUGUGCGGGCAUCAUGGGGAGUUUGUGGCUCGGCGCUGGGCGGUCCUCUGCAUGUUUGGGUGGAGUGCUGCGGUGAAUUCUACACGGCUCCUGCUGGCGGGAAGCCUCUCCUUUUCUCUUUUUCUUUCUCUGUGUACCUGGUCUGUUCGGUGGUCGUGGCCCUCGCUCUCUGAAGUCUUCGUCUUGUGGGAAGCGCUACUGCGAGGCACGAUAUUGACUGUGAUAAUGGUCCUAAGGUCAUUCCAAGCAACGAGGCCAGGUUACCCAAAGGACAAUGAACG